GACGAACGCUGGCGGCGUGCUUAACACAUGCAAGUGGAGCGACGAACCAGGGCUUGCCCUGGGGCAGAGCCGCGAACGGGUGAGUAACACGUGGGUAACCUACCCCGAUGACCGGGACAACCCGAGGAAACUCGGGCUAAUACCGGAUGUUCUCGAAUUUCUCAAGGGACUCGAGUAAAGAUAGCUUCGGCCUUCGCAUCGGGACGGGCCCGCGGCCCAUUAGCUUGUUGGUGAGGUAACGGCUUACCAAGGCGACGAUGGGUAGCUGGUCUGAGAGGACGAUCAGCCACACUGGGACUGAGACACGGCCCAGACUCCUACGGGAGGCAGCAGUGGGGAAUCUUGCGCAAUGGGCGAAAGCCUGACGCAGCAACGCCGCGUGGGGGAAGAAGGCCUUCGGGUUGUAAACCCCUUUCAGUUGGGACGAAGCUUCCAGGGUUAAUAGCUCUGUGGAGUGACGGUACCUUCAGAAGAAGCCCCGGCUAACUACGUGCCAGCCGCCGCAGUAACA
rnacentral:rRNA from 1 species